GAUGAACGCUGGCGGCGUGCCUAAUACAUGCAAGUCGAGCGAACGGACGAGAAGCUUGCUUCUCUGAUGUUAGCGGCGGACGGGUGAGUAACACGUGGAUAACCUACCUAUAAGACUGGGAUAACUUCGGGAAACCGUAGCUAAUACCGGAUAAUAUUUUGAACCGCAUUGUUCAAAAGUGAAAGACGGUCUUGCUGUCACUUAUCGAUGGAUCCGCGCUGCAUUAGCUAGUUGGUAAGGUAACGGCUUACCAAGGCAACGAUGCAUAGCCGACCUGAGAGGGUGAUCGGCCACACUGGAACUGAGACACGGUCCAGGCUCCUACGGGAGGCAGCAGUAGGGAAUCUUACGCAAUGGGCGAAAGCCUGACGGAGCAGCGCCGCGUGAGUGAUGAAGGUCUUCGGAUCGUAAAACUCUGUUAUUAGGGAAGAACAUAUGUGUAAGUAACUGUGCACAUCUUGACGGUACCUAAUCAGAAAGCCACGGCUAACUACGUG
rnacentral:rRNA from 1 species